CUGCUGGCGGUGACGAAAUGAAACGGACUAGAGUUUCUGAAACCAGCUUAUGCUGGGUUUGAAGAUACAACCCUUGGCUGUCCGAGCCUUUGCAG
rnacentral:snoRNA from 1 species